GAUGAACGCUAGCGGCAGGCCUAAUACGUGCAAGUCGAACGAGAUUAAGGAGCUUGCUUCUUAUGAAAGUGGCGCACGGGUGCGUAACGCGUAUGCAACCUACCUUAAUCAGGGGGAUAGCCCGAAGAAAUUCGGAUUAACACCGCAUAAAAACACAGGAUAGCAUUAUCCAAUGUUCAAAUAUUUAUAGGAUUAAGAUGGGCAUGCGUGUCAUUAGCUAGUUGGCGGGGUAACGGCCCACCAAGGCGACGAUGACUAGGGGAUCUGAGAGGAUGACCCCCCACACUGGUACUGAGACACGGACCAGACUCCUACGGGAGGCAGCAGUAAGGAAUAUCGGUCAAUGGAGGCAACUCUGAACCAGCCAUGCCGCGUGCAGGAAGACUGCCCUAUGGGUUGUAAACUGCUUUUAUCCGGGAAUAAACCUUUUUACGUGUAAGAAGCUGAAUGUACCGGAAGAAUAAGGAUCGGCUAACUCCGUGCCAGCAGCCGCAGUAAGAC
rnacentral:rRNA from 1 species